ACGCUCGACACCUACGGGAGUCAGCAGUGAGGAAUAUUGGUCAAUGGGCGCUAGCCUGAACCAGCCAAGUAGCGUGAAGGAUGAAGGCUCUAUGGGUCGUAAACUUCUUUUAUAUAAGAAUAAAGUGCAGUAUGUAUACUGUUUUGUAUGUAUUAUAUGAAUAAGGAUCGGCUAACUCCGUGCCAGUAGCCGCGGUAAUCUGAGCGGGCUGGCAAGGC
rnacentral:rRNA from 1 species